UACGGGGGGGGCAAGCGUUGUUCGGAAUUACUGGGCGUAAAGCGCACGUAGGCGGCUUUCUAAGUCGGGGGUGAAAUCCUGGAGCUCAACUCCAGAACUGCCUUCGAUACUGGAGAGCUCGAGUCCGGGAGAGGUGAGUGGAACUGCGAGUGUAGAGGUGAAAUUCGUAGAUAUUCGCAAGAACACCAGUGGCGAAGGCGGCUCACUGGCCCGGUACUGACGCUGAGGUGCGAAAGCGUGGGGAGCAAACAGG
rnacentral:rRNA from 1 species